UACGGGGGGGGCAAGCGUUGUUCGGAAUUACUGGGCGUAAAGGGCUCGUAGGCGGCCAACUAAGUCAGACGUGAAAUCCCUCGGCUUAACCGGGGAACUGCGUCUGAUACUGGAUGGCUUGAGAUUGGGAGAGGGAUGCGGAAUUCCAGGUGUAGCGGUGGAAUGCGCAGAUAUCAGGAGGAACACCGGUGGCGAAGGCGGGUCUCUGGGGCCUAUACUGACGUGAGGAGCGAAAGCGUGGGGAGCGAACAGG
rnacentral:rRNA from 1 species